CCUACGGGAGGCAGCAGUGGGGAAUAUUGGACAAUGGGCGAAAGCCUGAUCCAGCCAUGCCGCGUGUGUGAAGAAGGUCUUCGGAUUGUAAAGCACUUUAAGUUGGGAGGAAGGGUACUUACCUAAUACGUGAGUAUUUUGACGUUACCGACAGAAUAAGCACCGCCUAACUCUGUGCCAGCAGCCGCGGUAAU
rnacentral:rRNA from 1 species